GGCCUGGUGGUAUAGUUAGAAUCACAUUAUCUAAAUUUCAGAGGAAGUUCUUUGUUCGAAUCAAGGCCAGGCUG